rnacentral:sRNA from 1 species
GCUGGAUGGGGUGGUGCACACUUGUAGUCCUAGCUACUCAGGAGGCUGAGGCAGGCGGAUUGCUUGAGCCCAGGAGCUCGAGGCUGCAGUGAACUAUGGAUCAUGCCACUGCACUCCAGCAUGGGCAACAGAGCUAGUGCCUGUCUCUU